UACGUAGGGUGCAAGCGUUUGUCCGGAAUUAUUGGGCGUAAAGAGCUUGUAGGCGGUUUGUCGCGUCUGCUGUGAAAUUUCGGGGCUCAACCCCGAACUUGCAGUGGGUACGGGCAGACUAGAGUGUGGUAGGGGAGACUGGAAUUCCUGGUGUAGCGGUGAAAUGCGCAGAUAUCAGGAGGAACACCGGUGGCGAAGGCGGCUCCAUGGCCCGGUAUGACACUGAGGC
rnacentral:rRNA from 1 species